GACGAACGCUGGCGGCGUGCUUAACACAUGCAAGUCGAGCGGUAAGGCCCUUUCGGGGGUACGACGAGCGGCGAACGGGUGAGUAACACGUGGGUGACCUGCCCUCAGCUCUGGGAGUAAGCCCGGGAAACUAGGGUCUAAUACCGGAUAUGACUCCAUGACGCAUGUUGUGGGGUGGAAAGCCUUGUGCGGCUGAGGAUGGGCCCGCGGCCUAUCAGCUUGUUGGUGGGGUGAUGGCCUACCAAGGCGACGACGGGUAGCCGGCCUGAGAGGGCGACCGGCCACACUGGGACUGAGACACGGCCCAGACUCCUACGGGAGGCAGCAGUGGGGAAUCUUGCGCAAUGGGCGAAAGCCUGACGCAGCGACGCCGCGUGAGGGAUGACGGCCU
rnacentral:rRNA from 1 species